UGGCUACCAACAGUUUAUGCCCUACCC
rnacentral:piRNA from 1 species